rnacentral:rRNA from 1 species
UACAGAGGGUGCGAGCGUUAAUCGGAAUUACUGGGCGUAAAGGGCGCGUAGGCGGUUUAAUGGGUGUGAUGUGAAAGCCCUGGGCUUAACCUAGGAAGUGCAUCGCAAACUAUUGAGCUAGAGUAGAUGAGAGGGUGGCGGAAUUUCCGGUGUAGCGGUGAAAUGCGUAGAGAUCGGAAGGAACGUCAAUGGCGAAGGCAGCCACUUGGCAUCAUACUGACGCUGAGGCGCGAAAGCGUGGGGAGCGAACAGG